GACGAACGCUGGCGGCGUGCUUAACACAUGCAAGUCGAGCGGUAAGGCUCCUUCGGGAGUACACGAGCGGCGAACGGGUGAGUAACACGUGAGCAACCUGCCCUUCUCAUCGGAAUAAGCGUUGGAAACGACGUCUAAUGCCGAAUACGACUUCGGAAGGCAUCUUCUGAAGUGGAAAGCUCCGGCGGAGAGGGAUGGGCUCGCGGCCUAUCAGCUUGUUGGUGGGGUAAUGGCCCACCAAGGCGACGACGGGUAGCCGGCCUGAGAGGGUGACCGGCCACACUGGGACUGAGACACGGCCCAGACUCCUACGGGAGGCAGCAGUGGGGAAUAUUGGACAAUGGGCGCAAGCCUGAUCCAGCAACGCCGCGUGAGGGAUGACGGCCUCGGGUUGUAAACCUCUUUCAGCAGGGACGAAGCGCAAGUGACGGUACCUGCAGAAGAAGGACCGGCCAACUACGUGCCAGCAGCCGCGGUAAUACGUAGGGUCCGAGCGUUGUCCGGAAUUAUUGGGCGUAAAGGCUCGUAGGCGGUUAGUCGCGUCGGGAGUGAAAACUCAGGGCUCAACCUGAGCGUGCUUCCGAUACGGGCUGACUAGAGGUAUGCAGGGGAGAACAGAAUUCCUGGUGUAGCGGUGGAAUGUGCAGAUAUCAGGAGGAACACCGGUGGCGAAGGCGGUUCUCUGGGCAUUACCUGACGCUGAGGAGCGAAAGCAUGGGGAGCGAACAGGAUUAGAUACCUGGUA
rnacentral:rRNA from 1 species